GCCUAUACCCUCAACUUAAUCCUUAUCCUUAUCCUAUAUAAUAAUAGUACAUAAUCCUUAAAUAGACCUACACAUUAGAAGACCUAAAAAAAUGAGAUCAGAUCCUUAGACCCCCUUCAUCGGAGAAAAGUGAAGCAAACAACCUAAGGCUCCCUUCAGCUUCAUCUCCUUCUCCAAAUAGCCUAGAAACUCUCUCUUCUCAUUCAAGAACACAGAAAAUUCCAGCUCCAAAUCCAGCACAAAACCCCAGCAAAACACCUUAAUUUAAGAAAAAUAAAUACUACUAAAAUACCAGUGAAUUUCCAACAAAACACUAAGCCAAAACCAACUGAAAACCAGCUUUAAAAUGCCUCAAAAUCAACCCCAAAAAACGCAGCUGAAAUCCGCUGCAAUCAGCUUCUAGAUGCGGCCUUGACACAGCCCAAAACUCCAUAGCUAAUCAUCUGAUUCAACUCAAUUUCUUCCUCUGAAUUUCGGCCUAAAAUGGGUGUGAUUGAAUCGACGUUGCUGUUGUUGGAGGUCCAUUCACUGGUUGUUAUGUUUCGUGUUUCUUGUUCAACUUUCAUAGGCUUUUCUCGGAUUGACUUCUUUGACGCCCGUUGCUUGUAUUUUUCCUCAAACUAAAUUAAUCAAAAGCUCAAUUUUCAAGUUCAUUGAUGAAUCCUAUUACUCUAUUUUUGGGUGUUGAUUUAAAUUCGGAGCCAUGGAUAAAUAGGUUUGAAAAGUGUUUGAGAUAUAGCUUGUGCUUGUGAGGUUUUGAUGAUUUAGUUGAUAUAGUAUGAUUUGUGUUGAUGAUCUAUGUAUGAGCUCAAUUAUAUAUAGCCAGCCAAUAAUGGGUGCCAGUAAAUUAUAUCUUGAAUUUCUAAUAAGAUACUCACAAAGGUAAGUAGAGAUGGUGAAUGCUUGUAAUAAAUUGUUAUAUGCACAGUGAAUGUUAAUCUCUUGGUAAUCUAUUCAUAAUACUCCUUCGAUUUGUGGCAUUCAUUAGUCCUAAUAUGUUUGCGCAAUUAUUUUUUUUUACACAACUUUCAUCUAGUUUGAGGAAUCUAAAAAUACUAUACAGAUUUUAUCCUUUAAA
rnacentral:lncRNA from 1 species